GAAAUUUGCAUAAUUUAAUUUAAUUAUAAUUAUUUAUAUAAGUAUUUUAAUUUUUAUUCCCUUAUUAUUUUUCUUUAUUUAGCUAGUAAAGUAUUGUAAGUUAUACCUUUGAGUAUAGAGAGUAGAUUAUGCACCUAUUAUGUUCCACUGUUAUGUACUACUCGAUGGUUAUACCCGGUAUAAAGAUUCAAAACUUACAAAA